rnacentral:lncRNA from 1 species
GUUUAAGAGUGCCAGAGCCAGCUGGCUCUCAUCAGUGCCUUUUCCUCUGUGGAGGCUGAUCAGCUGCAGGUGGAAUCACUCACCUUCUCCCCCUUCAGGCUGCUGUUCAGCAAGUGAAGCUGACCUCUGGCCCAUAACAAGCAAACUAAAACGUCGAUCCAACCAGCAAGCAAGACAUGUCCUGGAAUCCUAUCAUAUGGGAAUGAGAAUGGCGCAACUUAGCACGGCAAAGGGGACUGGGAAAGCGAAAAUGCAGCCCUCUGUGAAGGCUGAGCCUGAACUAUCUGUUCACACCUGCACUGGGGUGAUGAAGAUGACAUUGCAAACACUCGGGAACAGAGUGACAGCCUCCUGCUGGUGGCAUGCUCUGGUAAUGCUAUAGGUGGAGUUGGCAUAAUAGGCAGAGCAUGUGCAGGUGCCCUACACUGUGAUGACUUGUGGGACAGGGCAAGAGGCAGGCACCCCACUAGGACCUUUCCUGAGAUCCACUUCCCCAAGCAGCUCCCUGGGCUCCCUAGACCCUGGUAUGCUCUGCCCCAACCUAUUGGAUCUCCCCCCUCCCAGGAUCGUAUGGGGCCAACUACUCCCUUUAGUUUUCAUCUGGCCAGUCCCUGUCCACCACAGCCCCAAUGCUUCCCCAUUGCCCAGGACAAACACAUAUAGUAUGGGGCAAUGGCAACAUAUGGUUUUAUUGCAUUGUUUGUUUUCUAUUGCAUAUUUCUAACCUUUGUUCCACCAAAGAACCCAAGGCUAUGUUUGGGUGGACACGGAUCAGGCCCAGACCUGCUGUACCUUCAGUAGAUCUGUGGCCUCGGGUGCCUUCAAAUCAUAGCCAGGGACUAUCCUCAUACUGUAACCGAUCUUAAACAAAAAUCCAGUCACAUGACUCAAGCACCUUCUGUUGGGAAUAAUUUUUAAAAAGAGUGGUUAAUCUCCAGUGUAAUGAUUCAGUUGUAAUCUUUGAAUGGGCUCUAUGAUCUGGAGAGGAACUCCACAAGUUAACGGCUCAUAAGACAGAGGUCCCAUACCUGAUAGAAAUAUAUCAGAGUUAAUGUAAACACAGG